rnacentral:rRNA from 1 species
AGAGUUUGAUCAUGGCUCAGAUUGAACGCUGGCGGCAGGCCUAACACAUGCAAGUCGAGCGGUAGCACAGAGAGCUUGCUCUCGGGUGACGAGCGGCGGACGGGUGAGUAAUGUCUGGGAAACUGCCUGAUGGAGGGGGAUAACUACUGGAAACGGUAGCUAAUACCGCAUAACGUCGCAAGACCAAAGUGGGGGACCUUCGGGCCUCAUGCCAUCAGAUGUGCCCAGAUGGGAUUAGCUAGUAGGUGGGGUAAUGGCUCACCUAGGCGACGAUCCCUAGCUGGUCUGAGAGGAUGACCAGCCACACUGGAACUGAGACACGGUCCAGACUCCUACGGGAGGCAGCAGUGGGGAAUAUUGCACAAUGGGCGCAAGCCUGAUGCAGCCAUGCCGCGUGUGUGAAGAAGGCCUUCGGGUUGUAAAGCACUUUCAGCGGGGAGGAAGGCGNNNNNNNCGAUUGACGUUACCCGCAGAAGAAGCACCGGCUAACUCCGUGCCAGCAGCCGCGGUAAUACGGAGGGUGCAAGCGUUAAUCGGAAUUACUGGGCGUAAAGCGCACGCAGGCGGUCUGUCAAGUCGGAUGUGAAAUCCCCGGGCUCAACCUGGGAACUGCAUUCGAAACUGGCAGGCUAGAGUCUUGUAGAGGGGGGUAGAAUUCCAGGUGUAGCGGUGAAAUGCGUAGAGAUCUGGAGGAAUACCGGUGGCGAAGGCGGCCCCCUGGACAAAGACUGACGCUCAGGUGCGAAAGCGUGGGGAGCAAACAGGAUUAGAUACCCUGGUAGUCCACGCCGUAAACGAUGUCGAUUUGGAGGUUGUGCCCUUGAGGCGUGGCUUCCGGAGCUAACGCGUUAAAUCGACCGCCUGGGGAGUACGGCCGCAAGGUUAAAACUCAAAUGAAUUGACGGGGGCCCGCACAAGCGGUGGAGCAUGUGGUUUAAUUCGAUGCAACGCGAAGAACCUUACCUGGUCUUGACAUCCACAGAACUUUCCAGAGAUGGAUUGGUGCCUUCGGGAACUGUGAGACAGGUGCUGCAUGGCUGUCGUCAGCUCGUGUUGUGAAAUGUUGGGUUAAGUCCCGCAACGAGCGCAACCCUUAUCCUUUGUUGCCAGCGGUCCGGCCGGGAACUCAAAGGAGACUGCCAGUGAUAAACUGGAGGAAGGUGGGGAUGACGUCAAGUCAUCAUGGCCCUUACGACCAGGGCUACACACGUGCUACAAUGGCAUAUACAAAGAGAAGCGACCUCGCGAGAGCAAGCGGACCUCAUAAAGUAUGUCGUAGUCCGGAUUGGAGUCUGCAACUCGACUCCAUGAAGUCGGAAUCGCUAGUAAUCGUAGAUCAGAAUGCUACGGUGAAUACGUUCCCGGGCCUUGUACACACCGCCCGUCACACCAUGGGAGUGGGUUGCAAAAGAAGUAGGUAGCUUAACCUUCGGGAGGGCGCUUACCACUUUGUGAUUCAUGACUGGGGUGAAGUCGUAACAAGGUAACCGUAGGGGAACCUGCGGUUGGAUCACCU